UGGGGAAUCUUGCGCAAUGGGCGAAAGCCUGACGCAGCGACGCCGCGUGCGGGAAGAAGGCCUUCGGGUUGUAAACCGCUUUCAGGAGGGACGAAGCCACUCGGGUGAACAGCCCAGAGGGUGACGGUACCUCCAGAAGAAGCCCCGGCUAACUACGUGCCAGCAGCCGCGGUAAUACGUAGGGGGCAAGCGUUGUCCGGAUUCAUUGGGCGUAAAGAGCGUGUAGGCGGCCAGGUAGGUCGGUUGUGAAAACUGGAGGCUCAACCUUCAGAGGUCGACCGAAACCAUCUGGCUAGAGUCCGGGAGAGGAGAGUGGAAUUCCUGGUGUAGCGGUGAAAUGCGCAGAUAUCAGGAAGAACACCCGUGGCGAAAGCGGCUCUCUGGAACGGUACUGACGCUGAGACGCGAAAAGCGUGGGGAGCGAACAGGAUUAGAUACCCUGGUAGUCCACGCCGUAAACGAUGGGCACUAGGGUGUGGGAGGUGUCGACUCCUUCCGUG
rnacentral:rRNA from 1 species